AUUGAACGCUGGCGGCAGGCCUAACACAUGCAAGUCGAACGAGUGGCGGACGGGUGAGUAAUGUCUGGGAAACUGCCUGAUGGAGGGGGAUAACUACUGGAAACGGUAGCUAAUACCGCAUACCAUCAGAUGUGCCCAGAUGGGAUUAGCUAGUUGGUGGGGUAACGGCUCACCAAGGCGACGAUCCCUAGCUGGUCUGAGAGGAUGCCCAGGCCCAAUGGAACGGAUACACGGCCGAGACUCCGACGUGAGGCAGCAGUGGGGAAUAUUGAACAAUGGGCGCAAGCCUGAUGCAGCCAUGCCGCGUGUAUGAAGAAGGCCUUCGGGUUGUAAAGUACUUUCAGUGGGGAGGCGUUACCCGCAGAAGAAGCACCGGCUAACUCCGUGCCAGCCGCCGCGGUAAUUC
rnacentral:rRNA from 1 species